rnacentral:lncRNA from 1 species
ACCUCAAAACAAACAAACAAACAAACAAACAAACAAAAAACUACAACUUGGUACCUGAAAUCCCAGCAAUAAUUCAUGGUAUUGAGAGAAAGCUGAGGUUCAAUGAACCUUUUUUAAUGAAAGUAGAUGCCUACUACGUGCAAGGUACUUUGUGGGAAAUGUUCAGUGGACUAUGGGUGUGUGUUGCCAGGCAACCAGUGAGAAGGAUAACUCAGGGAUAGAAUACGAGAAGUGCUCUACAAUAAAGGGGAGGAUGGUACAUCACUUGGUAGGCUUGUGCUGGAGGACUGGGGAAGACAAACCAGCUGAAGCAGGACUUGAAUGACAUGGCAUUUCACAAGUAGAGAACUGCGGGGAGCUGAAAGAAGGUCAUCGUGGGAUGAUGUUAGAGGGUGAGCAGAAGCCUCUAUGUGGUCAAGAUCAGGGUUUAUUUAAAGGCUAUUUUUUAAAUGACCAAUAUGGUAGUAGUCUGCUUGGUGGAGGUUAGGUGGAGUAGGUAGAGAAACCUACACAGCCUGGAUGGGUGAUGACAGCUUGGAUGAUAGAAGCUUCAUGUUUGCCUGUCAAAAAAACCUGUCAGCUGCAAAGGCGAUAAGGGGGGCAGUUAAAAGAAGAUACUGGAGCCUUAAGCUUCUUAAUGUGCCAAGAAUCAAUCCCAUGAAAGCAAACAACUUGAAAAAGGGUUAUACGUAUUUAGGAAAUCUCUGAGGCUCCCUUCCUGCUCUGCUCGAGCUGGAGCGAGUGCUCAAGUUUUCUCACCCUAAUGACCCCUGAAGCAGCCCUGAGGGAUUGCAAAACAAGGCCGUUACACAAGGCAGCUUGCUAAUUGAGAAGUUGAUCGGGGGUAGAGAAAUCCUGCUUUACCACGUUAAGUGUCGAAAUCAAGCAUGACUAGAUUGACGUCGCCAAAUCACCGUCUGGAGGCCACUCCACGCCAGGAGCAGCAGGGCUUUUCACACCUGAUAGGCCCUCACUCUAUCUACAUCAAGUCACAUUAAGAAAGGAAUGUAUUACGGAACUGGAGUCCGUGCCCCUCAGAGCAUUACUCCACUGCCUAAUUGCUGCUUCUCCGCUUCCCCGCUUCCCCGAAGUAACAAAUGUGUCCACGUGGACCUGCAGCUUACCUGAUCCCUUUGGAAAACCAACCUUCCUCCACCUACUCUGCCGAUUUGCUCCAUUAUAAAAAUGCAACACCACCAAGACCCAGAGUAAGUUAGAGGAAGACAGUAGGGCUAGAAAUUUUGUAUUACAUAUCUCGAUCACAUUGAUUUAAAUUACAGGGACCUUGGAACAAUGUAUAAACGAUGACUCUUUAAACCUUUUAUUUUUAAAUGAAGUUGCAGAUGCAGGAUGUCUGAUCAACGAAAACGCCUGUCUCUCGGAUAGUGAUUUAGACACCACACGGUGUGCAGAGAGGAGAGACCUUCUGCUUUUGAACUUUGAGUCCCCAGUCACGGAUUUGCUGCUCUCCAACCUAAAAUCUCCUGUGACAGAUGGCAUAAUAGAUAUUCCCAACAGCCCAGACUAGCAGGCUGAUAUUACUUGGUAUUUUUUCUUAUAGUCUUUCUGACAGGUUCAAAGCACUUAACCAAUGAUGUGUUUUAGGUAGGGGAUAAAAGGUGACUUAGGAACUUUCCCCCUAUUUGUACCACUUUUUAAAUUUUAAAUCUCAGUUUUCUUACUGACACAAUGGAGCUAAUUCCUAUCUGUGCUCUGUUAACUGCAAGACACAUAAAGAAGAAAAAUGGCUUGUUUCCAACCGCAAAGGAUUUAUCGGCCAUUAGAAAAGAAAGUCUUCUAUAAAUCUGUAAUAGAAAAAUUAAUCCUUACCAUACAUUUUGAGAGGUGGUAGGUGGCAUCCAUUCUGUGAGUGGGGAAACAGAAGUAUAGAGAGGUAGCAGUGACAUGUCUAAGAUCUCAUAGUCAUUAACAGCAGUGAUAGAAAUCUGGCCGAGUCCGAGUCUAUGUGUUCUGAUACCUAGAAGGGUGCUCCCUACAUAAGGCACCUCCUUUCUUACCCUCAAUUGAAGUAUGAUACAUAGUAUGACAAACUAGUAACAAAAAGAAACAAACACAAAACACACAAAAGAAAAGGUGUUUUCGUUUGUUUAUUUUUACCUAGAAAAACAUAACAGGGCAAUCUACAGUAUUAUGUAACCUGGUACUGACUUCCAAGUUAUAAUCUAAACUUAACAUUAUGAUGUCCGUCAUGUUUUUAUAAAAAGCUCCCUAUUCUCUUUUGCAGCUCAAAAUUCAUAAAUAAACCCAUAUGAAUAAAA